AGUGAACGCUGGCGGUAGGCCUAACACAUGCAAGUCGAACGGCAGCACAGUAAGAGCUUGCUCUUACGGGUGGCGAGUGGCGGACGGGUGAGGAAUACAUCGGAAUCUACUUUUUCGUGGGGGAUAACGUAGGGAAACUUACGCUAAUACCGCAUACGACCUACGGGUGAAAGCAGGGGAUCUUCGGACCUUGCGCGAUUGAAUGAGCCGAUGUCGGAUUAGCUAGUUGGCGGGGUAAAGGCCCACCAAGGCGACGAUCCGUAGCUGGUCUGAGAGGAUGAUCAGCCACACUGGAACUGAGACACGGUCCAGACUCCUACGGGAGGCAGCAGUGGGGAAUAUUGGACAAAGGGCGCAAGCCUGAUCCAGCCAUACCGCGUGGGUGAAGAAGACCUUCGGGUUGUAAAGCCCUUUUGUUGGGAAAGAAAAGCAGCAGGUUAAUACCCCGCUGUUCUGACGGUACCCAAAGAAUAAGCACCGGCUAACUUCGUG
rnacentral:rRNA from 1 species